UAGGGAAUAUUGGUAAUGUGCGAAAGCGCGAACCAGCAACGCCGCGUGCACGAUGAAGGCCUUCGGGUCGUAAAGUGCUUUUAGAGAGGAUGAGGAAGGACAGUACUUUCUGAAUAAGCCUCGGCUAACUACGUGCCAGCAGCCGCGGUAAAACGUAGGAGGCUAGCGUUAUCCGGAUUUACUGGGCGUAAAGCGCAUGCAGGUGGUUUUGUAAGUUGGAUGUGAAAACUCCUGGCUUAACUGGGAGAGGUCGUUCAAAACUACAAGACUUGAGAUUGGUAGAGGAAAAUGGAAUUCCGGGUGUAGUGGUGAAAUGCGUAGAUAUCCGGAGGAACACCAGUGGCGAAAGCGGUUUUCUGGACCAAUUCUGACACUCAGAUGCGAAAGCUAAGGUAGCAAAC
rnacentral:rRNA from 1 species